UUCAGAACUUUCUGGUAAAGUGCAGACUUCAUUGUUCCUUCAUGUUCUUCCAGUCCUGAGGCAGGAAAAUAUCCCUACACCACAACACUACCACCCCGAUGUUUUACUGUUGGGAUAAUCUAAUUUGUGGGAAAUGCAGGGUUUGCUUUACGCCAAACAUAACAGUACCAGUGUUUUUUUUUUUAAAGUUACACUUUUAACUAAUUUUUCCACAGAACAAAUCAACCUGUUGUACGAUAAGGUGCAGGCCCAUUUUCAUCCAGCACUGACAAACAAAUGUAUCUAGGCCCAUAAGAAGCUGCUCUUCACAUCCCCUCUGUGGCUCAUCACAGUCACUUCUACCUGAAGGUUGCCUGAACAAGGGUGUAAAAGAUCAAGAAAAAGAAGAAAGUAGACUGGAGUCAGCCCCUGACUCUUGUCUUUGCUCCGCUCCUACCCAUAG